UACGAACUGUGCAAACGUUAUUCGGAAUCACUGGGCUUAGAGGGUGCGUAGGCGGCUAUUUAAGUAGGGUGUGAAAGCCCCCGGCUCAACCGGGGAAUUGCGUCCUAAACUGGGUAGCUCGAGUGAGAUAGAGGUGUGUGGAACUUCCGGUGGAGCGGUGAAAUGUGUUGAUAUCGGAAGGAACGCCGGUGGCGAAAGCGACACACUGGGUCUCAACUGACGCUGAGGCACGAAAGCCAGGGGAGCGAACGGG
rnacentral:rRNA from 1 species